GCUACAGACAACAACAUCAGGACAAAUAAAAUUGGCAAUCAGGAGAACUACUAUGUUUCUUUACUCUAACACCCCUGAACCAUGUGACUGAGUAUGUGACCAACUUCUAAAGAACUUAACGGUCCAUUCAUUUAAACCAGGCGAACUGAAGCAGGAAAACAUAUAAAAGGUCCUUAAAAGUACUGACAUAAAAAAACAUCAAAUUUUAUUUCAUUCAAUCAAUCUAUCGUUUUCUAUACAACUGACUGACUCACUUAAACUACACUCUGCAAUGUGUAGGUAACAUUAAAAUAGCUGAAACUGGCAUUUUAGGACGGUGUAUCGAUGUUUGGGGACAUAAUUCAGGUUUCUUAACUCUAUAACUACUGACAAGUUUAUAUUUAGAUAUUUUCAUCCAGGGUUUCCUUCCUUUGAGUUAGGACAUUCUCAUUCACCUUCCCCUGGGAAGAAAAACACUGCAGUUUGGCAAACAUGGGCUAUAUUUACACACAGCACUGGAGAUAUCCAUUUCUUUAACAUGAACUUUAACAUGAACUGCUAAGAUGUCUCUCAGUGGUGAGGCUCGAAUAACAGCUAUUCCAACUGGUAGAAAAGUAGCAGCUUUAACAACAACAAAAAAAAACUCAAAAG